AUACAGAGGGUGCGAGCAUUAAUCGGAAUUACUGGGCGUAAAGCGCGCGUAGGCGGCUUAUUAAGUCAGAUGUGAAAUCCCCGGGCUCAACCUGGGAACUGCAUCUGAUACUGGUAAGCUAGAGUUUGGGAGAGGGAAGUAGAAUUUCAGGUGUAGCGGUGAAAUGCAUAGAGAUCUGAAGGAAUACCAGUGGCGAAGGCGACUUCCUGGCCUAAAACUGACGCUGAGGUGCGAAAGCGUGGGUAGCAAACGGGAUUAGAAACCCGGGUAGUCC
rnacentral:rRNA from 1 species